rnacentral:rRNA from 1 species
AACGAACGCUGGCGGCAGGCUUAACACAUGCAAGUCGAGCGCCCCGCAAGGGGAGCGGCAGACGGGUGAGUAACACGUGGGAAUCUACCCAUCCCUGAGGAACAACUCCGGGAAACUGGAGCUAAUACCGCAUACGCCCUUCGGGGGAAAGAUUUAUCGGGGAUGGAUGAGCCCGCGUUGGAUUAGCUAGUUGGUGGGGUAAAGGCCUACCAAGGCGACGAUCCAUAGCUGGUCUGAGAGGAUGAUCAGCCACAUUGGGACUGAGACACGGCCCAAACUCCUACGGGAGGCAGCAGUGGGGAAUAUUGGACAAUGGGCGCAAGCCUGAUCCAGCCAUGCCGCGUGAAUGAUGAAGGCCUUAGGGUUGUAAAGUUCUUUCACCGAUGAAGAUAAUGACGGUAGUCGGAGAAGAAGCCCCGGCUAACUUCGUGCCAGCAGCCGCGGUAA